AUUCGCUUCGUCGAUGGUCAGUCAUUCAUGGAAAAAAGAUUGGGACGCUUCCGAGACAAUCGGGAUGGGAUCCGAUUUGAUCUGAUUUACUGAGGACCACGUCUGCCAUCCCGUGGCCAGUCUCGUGCGUCCCGCUCCCCACGGGAAGGACUCGUCGGGUAUUUGGGCUCGUCCUCAAACACGUUGAGGCAUGCGGUCGCAUCGCAAGGAUGCAGACGAGGAGCACGUUGUCCGCCGUCGCCUUGGGGGGCCGUGGUCCAUUGGCGUGUCGGGGGCCAAAGGACGUGCCCCCGUUGGAGGCGCCGCCGUUUCCGUUUGUUGACGCGCGCUGUUGGAGGCCGCUUCCGUAGCCCUCCCCGAGCCGUCGUCGCGCACCGAGGGCCAAGGCAAGCGCGGACGUAGGCGAUGGUGGGCUGGUGGCGCGGGUACACAUGCUGCCGGAGCCUAGGCGAGCGCGGCUGCGGGUGUGGCUGGGCAAGCUAGGGUGCGCCGAUGUUAAUGCAUCCAUGCUGCUGCUUGCGCCUCAAUGGCGAGAGCCAAAGGUAUUAAUUCCUGAUAGCGUUUGGUAUAUGCAGGAUAAAAAUAGGUAAGAAGCAACUGAUUAUUGUAGCAAUUGGGUCAAGACUUUAAUUGUGAAAAAAAUCAGAUCAAGACUUUGGUACAUAUACAUGGUUGUAUGGGCCGCUUAAUUCUGUGCAUGACUCCGAUUCAUCCCUGAUUCCCUUCUGUAUGUUCCUCUCAUUGCUGGCUGAAGACAGUGUCGUCUUGCUUCUAGCGUGGGCAAGUGGAAGAGAUGAUUUCUUCUCAUGUGCCCAAAACGCUCGGAUGGAAGUGACUCGCUGGCCGGCUUGGAAGCUGAUUUCUCCAGCAAUCAGGCCAUGAUCGGCAAUCUUCGGGAGGAAUUGCAUGCGCCAUCCUGGUUAUACCUUCCUCCAGUUCAAUCGCUCCAGACAUGGGUGUGCAUGGCUGGAGUCUGCACCGGAUAGUGUUCAUCCUUGCCUUUGAUCACCUGGCCUACUGUAAAAAGAUCUAAUUGCUUCAUAGUCAUAAUUUGCUUAUAUCUAGAGUUCAUAUAGAUAUUAGUAAGCAGAUAGCCUGUUUUUUGUCAAAUGGUUAUGCAGGUUCGAGCAAGCUCAAAGUAGGCUGGGGAGGAUGACCAGUGAUUAUACUGAUGCUGGUCCAUAUUUCUUGUGCAGGUUCGAGCAAGCACAUCGCCCACGUAAUAUAACUCUGAAAAAAUGGUCAGCAAUAUACAUUAAAAGACGGAGUUGCUGAUGCCAUAUGUCAUUUCUGACAAUAUGAUCAACAUGUGACGUGUCUGAGAUCCGUCGCAAUGCAUGGGCACGAACAGUGGUGGCAAGAGAUGCACCAUCAAGGGCGGCGGCGGGUGGCUUUAUCAGGUGGGCUAGAGCCACAACCACAACCAAUAAUAUGCUUGAGAAGCCUCCGUGAUGUGCUCCAGCGCCGAGCAACAAGUCGGUGGUGCAAUGCUGAUAGAACAAUGACAACAGCGUUCGUGAGAACCGAGAGCACCCACGCAACUAUUUUCCUCUACGAUGGUAGGGGGAGAACCGGGAUGAGAUCUACGAGGUAGCUCGGCCACAACGAAGGCGACUUGAAUUGUGAGCAGAACAACGCCGGUUAUGCAGCCACCGAUUGAGAGUGAAUUAGUGAAAGCAAUACUUGCAUCUAGGAUGGGAUAGCAUACUAUGUCUUGUGCUUGUGCCGAUGGAUGGUCUACAAUGACGACAAUCUUUUGAAAUCAUUAUCCUAGAUGGUUCCAUCGAAUAGUAUGGGUGUGAUGUAUCUUUUCAUCUUUGCUUCAUAUUUAAUUAGGUGCAUAUUUCGUGAGAUAA